GACGAACGCUGGCGGCAGGCCUAACACAUGCAAGUCGAGCGCCCCGCAAGGGGAGCGGCGGACGGGUGAGUAACGCGUGGGAAUCUGCCCUUUGGUGUGGGACAACCACGGGAAACUGUGGCUAAUACCGCAUGAGCCCGAGAGGGGAAAGCAGCAAUGCGCCGAAGGAUGAGCCCGCGUCGGAUUAGCUAGUUGGUGGGGUAAUGGCCCACCAAGGCGAUGAUCCGUAGCUGGUCUGAGAGGAUGAUCAGCCACACUGGGACUGAGACACGGCCCAGACUCCUACGGGAGGCAGCAGUGGGGAAUAUUGGACAAUGGGGGAAACCCUGAUCCAGCCAUGCCGCGUGAGUGAUGAAGGCCUUAGGGUUGUAAAGCUCUUUCGACGGGGACGAUGAUGACGGUACCCGUAGAAGAAGCCCCGGCUAACUUCGUGCCAGCCGCCGCGGUAACAC
rnacentral:rRNA from 1 species